AAAAGUCUGCCUCAUGUGAUGGCCCCUGUAGGACUGAGGACUGCCCUGUUGAGCAGAGUCAAGGCUUCCCAGUGGACUUCCCUCCCAUGAUAUGCUAUGGACAGGACUUCAAGCCUCAGGCAAACAUUCCUCUCCAGAGAAAACGAAAAGAGAGAGCUGAAAGGCCUUCCCAAAGAUACAAGAGAAGGCUGAAGCCCCAGCUGAAAGCCAGGAAAUGUUUAUCUGUAAUGGACCUGAUCCCAGGAGCCUGGAGCCCUCAGGAAAGAGCCCGCUGUGUGAGGAUCCUCUUGGAAAGCUGCCCGGGAGAUAUGGUGAUGGGGAGCUGGCCUGGAGCCGGAAUGCCAAAGGCUGGGCACACCCAACCUUCCUCAUCGACUGUACCAGUGGGAAGCCUCUGCCUCUGCCUGGGCCAUUCCCACCCCCUCUCCAAAGGCCCCACUCAGGAUCCAUCCCCCCCACAUGAGAAUCUAUAUCCUAUUCUGCUGGGACCUGCCCAGGCCUACUCAGGAGGUCCCCCAGUGUGGAGCAGUUGUGGCAGAGCUGGGCAAACAGCUGGGCAAGAGCACCGAAGACCUGGCUCCUGGCCCAGUCAGGCAGCCUAGGUCCAAGGAGGGGCCCAAGUCCAAGGCAAUGCCCUCCAAAUCCUUCUUGCCCACAAGGGCUCGGGACAUAGUCAAGGACUCGCUGAAAGCAUGCUGUUCCUGCCUCAGUGGGCCAGAGGAUUAAAGUUGUGUGUGGGGGGGGUGGCAAUUCAGUUCAAUUCAAGACACAUUUUUUGAGUGCCUACUGUGUGCAUGAUCCUGGGCUUGACACUGGGGACACAAAUAUAAAAAGGGAGCUUACAACCUAACACACAAGUACAGUAUCUGUUAACAAGCAUUUAUUUUUUAAAAUAAAUUUUUAUUGUUAUCUUUUAUUUUUACA
rnacentral:lncRNA from 1 species